AUUGAACGCUGGCGGCAGGCCUAACACAUGCAAGUCGAGCGGAUGAAGGGAGCUUGCUCCUGGAUUCAGCGGCGGACGGGUGAGUAAUGCCUAGGAAUCUGCCUGGUAGUGGGGGAUAACGUCCUGAAACGGGCGCUAAUACCUCAUACGUCCUGAGGUCGAAAGUGGGGGAUCUUCGGACCUCACGCUAUCAGAUGAGCCUAGGUCGGAUUAGCUAGUUGGUGGGGUAAAGGCCUACCAAGGCGACGAUCCGUAACUGGUCUGAGAGGAUGAUCAGUCACACUGGAACUGAGACACGGUCCAGACUCCUACGGGAGGCAGCAGUGGGGAAUAUUGGACGAUGGGCGAAAGCCUGAUCCAGGCAUGCCGCGUGUGUGAAGAAGGUCUUCGGAUUGUAAAGCACUUUAAGUUGGGAGGAAGGGCAGUAAGUUAAUACCUUGCUGUUUUGACGUUACCAACAGAAUAAGCACCGGCUAACUUCGUG
rnacentral:rRNA from 1 species